GAUGAACGCUGGCGGCGUGCCUAAUACAUGCAAGUCGAGCGAACGGACGAGAAGCUUGCUUCUCUGAUGUUAGCGGCGGACGGGUGAGUAACACGUGGAUAACCUACCUAUAAGACUGGGAUAACUUCGGGAAACCGGAGCUAAUACCGGAUAAUAUUUUGAACCGCAUGGUUCAAAAGUGAAAGACGGUCUUGCUGUCACUUAUAGAUGGAUCCGCGCUGCAUUAGCUAGUUGGUAAGGUAACGGCUUACCAAGGCAACGAUGCAUAGCCGACCUGAGAGGGUGAUCGGCCACACUGGAACUGAGACGCGGUCCAGACUCCUAAGGGAGGCAGCAGUAGGGAAUCUUCCGCAAAGGGCGAAAGCCUGACGGAGCAACGCCGCGUGAGUGAUGAAGGUCUUCGGAUCGUAAAACUCUGUUAUUAGGGAAGAACAUAUGUGUAAGUAACUGUGCACAUCUUGACGGUACCUAAUCAGAAAGCCACGGCUAACUACGUG
rnacentral:rRNA from 1 species